GCGUGCCUAAUACAUGCAAGUAGAACGCUGAAGAGAGGAGCUUGCUCUUCUUGGAUGAGUUGCGAACGGGUGAGUAACGCGUAGGUAACCUGCCUUGUAGCGGGGGAUAACUAUUGGAAACGAUAGCUAAUACCGCAUAACAAUGGAUGACACAUGUCAUUUAUUUGAAAGGGGCAAUUGCUCCACUACAAGAUGGACCUGCGUUGUAUUAGCUAGUAGGUGAGGUAACGGCUCACCUAGGCGACGAUACAUAGCCGACCUGAGAGGGUGAUCGGCCACACUGGGACUGAGACACGGCCCAGACUCCUACGGGAGGCAGCAGUAGGGAAUCUUCGGCAAUGGGGGCAACCCUGACCGAGCAACGCCGCGUGAGUGAAGAAGGUUUUCGGAUCGUAAAGCUCUGUUGUAAGUCAAGAACGAGUGUGAGAGUGGAAAGUUCACACUGUGACGGUAGCUUACCAGAAAGGGACGGCUAACUACGUGCCAGCAGCCGCGGUAAUACGUAGGUCCCGAGCGUUGUCCGGAUUUAUUGGGCGUAAAGCGAGCGCAGGCGGUUUGAUAAGUCUGAAGUUAAAGGCUGUGGCUCAACCAUAGUUCGCUUUGGAAACUGUCAAACUUGAGUGCAGAAGGGGAGAGUGGAAUUCCAUGUGUAGCGGUGAAAUGCGUAGAUAUAUGGAGGAACACCGGUGGCGAAAGCGGCUCUCUGGUCUGUAACUGACGCUGAGGCUCGAAAGCGUGGGGAGCGAACAGGAUUAGAUACCCUGGUAGUCCACGCCGUAAACGAUGAGUGCUAGGUGUUGGAUCCUUUCCGGGAUUCAGUGCCGCAGCUAACGCAUUAAGCACUCCGCCUGGGGAGUACGACCGCAAGGUUGAAACUCAAAGGAAUUGACGGGGGCCCGCACAAGCGGUGGAGCAUGUGGUUUAAUUCGAAGCAACGCGAAGAACCUUACCAGGUCUUGACAUCCCGAUGCUAUUUCUAGAGAUAGAAAGUUACUUCGGUACAUCGGUGACAGGUGGUGCAUGGUUGUCGUCAGCUCGUGUCGUGAGAUGUUGGGUUAAGUCCCGCAACGAGCGCAACCCCUAUUGUUAGUUGCCAUCAUUCAGUUGGGCACUCUAGCGAGACUGCCGGUAAUAAACCGGAGGAAGGUGGGGAUGACGUCAAAUCAUCAUGCCCCUUAUGACCUGGGCUACACACGUGCUACAAUGGUUGGUACAACGAGUUGCGAGUCGGUGACGGCAAGCUAAUCUCUUAAAGCCAAUCUCAGUUCGGAUUGUAGGCUGCAACUCGCCUACAUGAAGUCGGAAUCGCUAGUAAUCGCGGAUCAGCACGCCGCGGUGAAUACGUUCCCGGGCCUUGUACACACCGCCCGUCACACCACGAGAGUUUGUAACACCCGAAGUCGGUGAGGUAACCUUUUGGAGCCAGCCGCCUAAGGUGGGAUAGAUGAUUGGGGUGAAGUCGUAC
rnacentral:rRNA from 1 species